rnacentral:misc_RNA from 1 species
CUGGAAGCGUCUCACGGCGCACCCAGAAACCCUAUGUGAACCUAUACCACUCUGUUGCCUCGGCGCGAGCCGGGGGCUUCUAUAAGCCCCCCCUCAUCUCGGUGAGGAGCAGGCCCGCCGGCGGCCCUACAAACUCUUGUUUUUAACGUAUCUCUUCUGAGUACAAAUUAUAAAUGAAUCA